rnacentral:rRNA from 1 species
UACGGAGGGAGCUAGCGUUGUUCGGAAUUACUGGGCGUAAAGCGCGCGUAGGCGGCUUUGUAAGUUAGAGGUGAAAGCCCGGGGCUCAACCCCGGAACUGCCUUUAAGACUGCAUCGCUUGAAUCCAGGAGAGGUGAGUGGAAUUCCGGGUGUAGAGGUGAAAUUCGUAGAUAUUCGGAAGAACACCAGUGGCGAAGGCGGCUCACUGGACUGGUAUUGACGCUGAGGUGCGAAAGCGUGGGGAGCAAACAGG